rnacentral:rRNA from 1 species
UACGUAGGGCGCAAGCGUUGUCCGGAAUUAUUGGGCGUAAAGAGCUCGUAGGCGGUUUGUCGCGUCGGAUGUGAAAGCCCGGGGCUUAACCCCGGGUCUGCAUUCGAUACGGGCAGACUGGAGUGUGGUAGGGGAGAUCGGAAUUCCUGGUGUAGCGGUGAAAUGCGCAGAUAUCAGGAGGAACACCGGUGGCGAAGGCGGGUCUCUGGGCCGAUACUGACGCUGAGGAGCGAAAGCGUGGGGAGCGAACAGG